GGACCAGACUCCUACGGGAGGCAGCAGUGGGGAAUAUUGCACAAUGGGGGAAACCCUGAUGCAGCGACGCCGCGUGAGUGAAGAAGUAAUUCGUUCUGUAAAGCCCUAUCGGCAGGGAAGAAGCAAGACGGUACCUGACUAAGAAGCCCCGGCUAACUACGUGCCAGCAGCCGCGGUAAUACGUAGGGGGCGAGCGUUAUCCGGAUUCACUGGGUGUAAAGGGAGCGUAGACGGCCAUGCAAGCCAGGGGUGAAAGCCCGGGGCCCAACCCCGGGACUGCCCUUGGAACUGUGCGGCUAGAGUGCGGGAGGGGCAGGCGGAAUUCCUGGUGUAGCGGUGAAAUGCGUAGAUAUCAGGAGGAACACCGGUGGCGAAGGCGGCCUGCUGGACUGCAACUGACGUUGAGGCCCGAAAGCGUGGGGAGCAAACAGGAUUAGAUACCCCGGUAAU
rnacentral:rRNA from 1 species